UAUUUUCCUCUUUUACGAUCCACUUCAUCCCUGGUAUGUCGUUUCUCCCCUCCAUACCCUUCAUGAUCAUUAUCAUUCCUCCUACUUUCACGCUGGGGUUCCUCCUUUUCACGCCUCCCAUACCCAUCAUCCUCUUCAUCUCUUUGGUAUCUUCCUCUUUUACGAUCCACUUCAUCCCUAGUAUGCCUUUUCUCCCCUCCAUACCCUUCAUGAUCACUAUCGUUCCUCCUACUUUCACGCUGGGGUUCCUCCUUUUCACGCCUCCGGUACCCAUCAUCCUCUACAUCUCUUUGGUAUCUUCCUCUUUUACGAUCCACUUCAUUCCUGGUAUGCCUUUUCUCCCCUCCAUACCCUUCAUGGUCAUUAUCAUUCCUCCUAGUUUCAUGCUGGGGUUCAUCAACCUUGCUCCGAAUUCUGCUGCUUG
rnacentral:lncRNA from 1 species